rnacentral:rRNA from 1 species
UACGGGGGGUGCGAGCGUUACUCGGAAUUACUGGGCGUAAAGCGUGCGUAGGUGGUCAUUGAAGUCCGUUGUGAAAGCCCUGGGCUCAACCUGCGGACUGCAGUGGAAACUGGGUGACUAGAGUGUGGUAGAGGGUAGCGGAAUUCCUGGUGUAGCAGUGAAAUGCGUAGAGAUCAAAAGGAACAUCCAUGGCGAAGGCAGCUACCUGGACCAACUCUGACACUGAGGCACGAAAGCGUGGGGAGCAAACAGG